rnacentral:rRNA from 1 species
AUUGAACGCUGGCGGCAGGCCUAGCACAUGCAAGUCGAACGGUAACAGGAAGAAGCUUGCUUCUUUGCUGACGAGUGGCGGACGGGUGAGUAAUGUCUGGGAAACUGCCUGAUGGAGGGGGAUAACUACUGGAAACGGUAGCUAAUACCGCAUAACGUCGCAAGACCAAAGAGGGGGAACUUCGGGCCUCUUGCCAUCGGAUGUGCCCAGAUGGGAUUAGCUAGUAGGUGGGGUAACGGCUCACCUAGGCGACGAUCCCUAGCUGGUCUGAGAGGAUGACCAGCCACACUGGAACUGAGACACGGUCCAGACUCCUACGGGAGGCAGCAGUGGGGAAUAUUGCACAAUGGGCGCAAGCCUGAUGCAGCCAUGCCGCGUGUAUGAAGAAGGCCUUCGGGUUGUAAAGUACUUUCAGCGGGGAGGAAGGGAGUAAAGUUAAUACCUUUACUCAUUGACGUUACCCGCAGAAGAAGCACCGGCUAACUCCGU